rnacentral:rRNA from 1 species
CCUACGGGUGGCAGCAGUGGGGAAUAUUGGACAAUGGGGGGAACCCUGAUCCAGCCAUGCCGCGUGUGUGAAGAAGGCCCUCGGGUUGUAAAGCACUUUCAGUGAGGAAGAACGCCUGGUGGUUAAUACCCAUCAGGAAAGACAUCACUCACAGAAGAAGCACCGGCUAACUCCGUGCCAGCAGCCGCGGUAAUACGGAGGGUGCGAGCGUUAAUCGGAAUUACUGGGCGUAAAGCGCGCGUAGGUGGCUUGAUAAGCCGGUUGUGAAAGCCCCGGGCUCAACCUGGGAACGGCAUCCGGAACUGGCAAGCUAGAGUGCAGGAGAGGAAGGUAGAAUUCCCGGUGUAGCGGUGAAAUGCGUAGAGAUCUGGAGGAAUACCAGUGGCGAAGGCGGCCUUCUGGACUGACACUGACACUGAGGUGCGAAAGCGUGGGUAGCAAACAGGAUUAGAUACCCUGGUAGUC